rnacentral:rRNA from 1 species
GUCGAGAAUCUUCCGCAAUGCGCGAAAGCGUGACGGAGCGACACCGCGUGAUGGAUGAAGUCCUUCGGGGCGUAAACAUCUUUUAUAAAGGAGGAAAUUUUUGACGUUACUUUAUGAAUAAGGGGCUCCCAAUCUCGUGCCAGCAGGAGCGGUAAUACGAGAGCCUCAAGCGUUAUCCGGAAUCAUUGGGCGUAAAGGGUGCGUAGGUGGUUUGAUUAGUCUCCCGUUAAAACUUUGAGCUUAACUCGAAAAGAGCGGGGGAAACGGUCAAACUAGAGUAUGUGAGAGGUGUGUGGAACUCAUGGUGUAGGGGUGAAAUCCGUUGAUAUCAUGGGGAACACCAAAAGCGAAGGCAGCACACUGGCACAUCACUGACACUGAGGCACGAAACCUAAGGUAGCGAAUGGGAUUAGAAACCCGAGUAGUCC